CUUGAAAACGACCUCGGUAAACGAGGAGGAAGGUGGGGAUGACGUCUGGUCCGCAUAGCCCUUAUGUCCUGGGCUACACACGCGCUACAAUGGCCGAUACAGUAGGAAGCCAAAUCGUAAGAUGGAGCUAAUCCUUAAAGUCGGUCUCAGUUCGGAUUGAGGUCUGAAAUUCGACCUCAUGAAGUUGGAUUUGCUAGUAAUCGUAGAUCAGCAAUGCUACGGUGAAUACGUUCUCGGGUCUU
rnacentral:rRNA from 1 species